rnacentral:rRNA from 1 species
GACGAACCGUGCGAACGUUGUUCGGAAUCACUGGGCUUAAAGGGCGCGUAGGCGGGCCCACAAGUCCGGGGUGAAAUCUUUCGGCUUAACCGGAAAAGUGCCUUGGAUACUGGGGGCCUUGAGGGAGGCAGGGGCGGAUGGAACUUCCGGUGGAGCGGUGAAAUGCGUUGAUAUCGGAAAGGAACGCCGGUGGCGAAAGCGAUCCGCUGGACCUCUUCUGACGCUGAGGCGCGAAAGCCAGGGGAGCAAACGGG